AUGAACGCUAGCGGCAGGCCUAAUACAUGCAAGUCGAACGGUAGAUCGGGUAGCAAUACUUGAUUGAGAGUGACGUAAGGGUGCGUAACACGUAUGCAAUCUACCCUCAACAGGAGUAUAGCUCGGGGAAACUCGGAUUAACACUCCAUAACAUUACGAUGUGGCAUCACAUUGUGAUUAAAAACUCCGGUGGUUGAGGAUGAGCAUGCGUCUGAUUAGUUAGUUGGAGGUGUAACGGACCCCCAAGACGAUGAUCAGUAGGGGAACUGAGAGGUUGGUCCCCCACACUGGCACUGAGAUACGGGCCAGACUCCUACGGGAGGCAGCAGUAGGGAAUAUUGGUCAAUGGGUGAGAGCCUGAACCAGCCAUGCCGCGUGCAGGAAGACGGCCUUCUGGGUUGUAAACUGCUUUUAUCUGGGGAUAAAAAGCCCAUGCGUGGGACAUUGAAGGUACCAGAUGAAUAAGCACCGGCUAACUACGUG
rnacentral:rRNA from 1 species